AAGGUAGUGUAGUUAACACCUGCACUAUUUGACGUUACCUACAGAAGAAGCACCGGCUAACUCCGUGCCAGCAGCCGCGGUAAUACGGAGGGUGCGAGCGUUAAUCGGAAUUACUGGGCGUAAAGCGCAUGCAGGCGGCCUGUUAAGUCAGAUGUGAAAGCCCGGGGCUUAACCUCGGAAUUGCAUUUGAAACUGGCAGGCUAGAGUCUUGUAGAGGGGGGUAGGAAGUUUCAGGUGUAGCGGUGAAAUGCGUAGAGAUCUGAAGGAAUACCAGUGGCGAAGGCGGCCCCCUCGGACAAAGACUGACGCUCAGAUGCGAAAGCGUGGGGAGCAAACAGGAUUAGAUACCCCUGGUAG
rnacentral:rRNA from 1 species